rnacentral:rRNA from 1 species
UUCAGAUAUGGACCUUGCUGCUAAAGGUCUAGGAGCUAAAGAAUGGAACAACUCACUAAAAACCAAGCUGUCGCUACUUCCCAAGAAGCUGUUCAGAAUCAGAAUGAGCCGCAACUUCGGGAUGAAAAUGCUCACAAUGACAAAUCUGUCCACGGAGUGCUUAAUCCAACUUACCAAGCUGGGUUACGACGCGACGCCGUUCAACCAGA